UACGUACCCCUUCGGCCCUCUUGCACUUCUCCUCCCCACCCAACGAGGCGGAGCUCCUUUUACCUCCACAGCGUCGGCUGUGCGCCUGUACUUCACACCGACGUCACCCUCUCCUCCAGAACUCAUCACCGGAGCCACCCUCACCUCGUCACGCCCUCCUCCGCUAAGUGCAGCAAGUGUUGAUCAGUUAGCACACUCUCCUUCAAAUCUAGAGUCACUUCUUCAAAGUGGGUGGGAGGGAGAUGGUGCUGAGGCGGGCGGCAACCGAAUGUCCUAAGAAGGUUGUGGGGCUGAAGGAUUUGGUGAACCUGCCGACCCAGCUGUGAGAGUUCACCGGAGGCCGGUCCAAAAUGUCACAUAUCUCCUUCCUCCGUGUCUGCUCGUACAUCAAGGACAACAAACUUCAGGUACAUUGCUUGGCGGUUGCCGAUUGUUUUCCCCCUUUGGUGCCAGCUUCCCAGCAAAACUUCAACCUUUGGAUCUCAUUCUUCACGUAGAAAUCGGCAUCUGCCCCACAAUAUUUUUUUCCGUUAUCUUGCGAAAUUCUAUGGUUGUGGUCAUGUGUUUGCAGGUGAACCUCAAGGAAUGUUCAUUGCUACUAGAAUUACAAAUCCAUUUGAGAUA
rnacentral:lncRNA from 1 species